CCGCUCGGCCCACUUGUGCAGCUGCGACUUGCCCUUCCGGACGUUGAAUAUUCCUUUCAGCAGGGUCCUCUCCUGCUGGUCUGCAUUCACUGGAGGCUCUGAAGGGAAGAGCGCACCCAUAGAGAUCCAUCUUGGAUCUGUGAAAUCAACACGUCAUACCAAAACAUCAGACCUAAAGUGCAGGACGGCUGGCCUCACUGGACAUUUUAGAGUGAUUUGGGAGGCCAAUGGUAUCAAGCCGCUAACUCAUAAGAGAAUUCCGUUGAUAUGUACGGGAGGCUCCCUCUGGAAGUGUUCUCGCCACGACAACCUGGAUGGAAACUCCGGGCAUACCCACAACAUGUCGGAAGGAUUACAUAUAUCAUCUGUCACGGGAGCACUUAAGGAUCCCGAAGGAUCAGCUUGUUGCUGCGAAAAAUAACACUGGACUGCUCUGCUCACCUCGCUCCAUGUGACCCUGAAUGCGAGCGGCUCAGAAAUGGAUGAAUGUCCUUAAUCAACGCCAUUGUCUCAGUACAUUUUUCCAAACAGGGAGUUUGUCCCACACAAUGUUCCCUAAGCAGUAAAAAAAAAAAUCAAGACCAUUUCUUCCUGAGGCGACCAUUACUCAAAUCUAUACAAAGAAAAUUACAACAACCGUCACUCCCAGCAUGUCCUUACUAUCAGUACUAUGAACGGCUUUAUGUUUCAGAUGUUCUUUUGUACAUCUAUUAUGGAUCUUAAUAAUAGUAACUACUGGACUUUUAAAAAAGGACUGAAAACCUGUGUGUGUAUUUCCUAUGGAUAAAUUAAACACAAUGCUUAGAUGAAAGCUUGACUCACCUUGUUAUUAGACCUUAACAUCUAAUUUAAAUCCACCCGGUCAUACUCUGAUUUGUUUUGCUUUGUCAUUCCACAUCAUUAUACCUCAACAGAGAGUAAUGCUCACAUAGAAUUUACCAUAGACUGUUGUAAUUUAAGCUAUAUAGCUAAACUAUUUAUUGUUUUACACUCUGCUUUCUAAUAUCAACACAAGAGCAAAAGAAGGAAUUAGCCCAAAUUCCUCCCUGGUCACAGAUCAGUGAACCAGCUUUCUAUCCUUUCACACAUAAUCAAACGGUCUUUGGCUAUUUAUGUCUUCAUAUGUCUUGUGUAGCUGUGAGAGGUGUGCCGUCAUGUCCCCUGAGGGUGUCCUGCCUGAGGGGCUGUGGGAGUAUGGGAUGUUGGAGGAACUGAAGCAUGUCCUCAGUGCUGUGUUCACCGACGUUGCUCCAAGUCAAGCUUAAUUAAGUUUUGUUUCCAUGGGCAGGAUAUCAAGUUUCUUUAAUAUCAUACAAAUAGGAAACAUGUGGAUAUUCAUUGAAAAUGUAUAUUGCUGAAUUGCUAUUUUUCAUCACAGCCAUUUAGGCUUUGUAUUUGUGCAUCUGAUGCGAGAGAUGUGAUUCCAUUUAAACUUGAGCAGCUGUGUAAACCAGCUGUACAACAUCUUGUGUUUCACUGGCACUUUGGUUGUGUAACUGCAACUCAAAUCAUCCUUCUAAGCUUUAGGUCACUUUGUAUUUCUUUUCUCCACCCUGGAACAUGAUGAUACAUUAAGGUGUAAGCGGUCACAUGAUUCAAAGCGCCCAGCAGCACCGUAUUGACUGGAUCCAAGCAAGACACGGAUGAAGGACUGCAGAUGUCAGAUGCAUGGUCCUGACCAGGGACGGAGAAAGCAUUUAAACUACAGCGGUGGAUAGAUUCCCUUUGGGGGACCUAGUGUGUAUUCUACCUGACUAGGUCUCCGUGCAGCUGGACAUAGAGUCCAUGU